UGUAAUUCAGUUGGUAGAAUGCUUGUCUAAUGUAUAAGAUGCCCUGAGUUUAAUCCCCAGCA
rnacentral:tRNA from 1 species